AUUGAACGCUGGCGGCAGGCCUAACACAUGCAAGUCGAGCGGAUGAAGGGGGCUUGCUCCUGGAUUCAGCGGCGGACGGGUGAGUAAUGCCUAGGAAUCUGCCUUGUCGUGGGGGAUAACGUCCGGAAACGGGCGCUAAUACCGCAUACGUCCUGAGGGAGAAAGUGGGGGGUCUUCGGACCUCACGCUAUCAGAUGAGCCUAGGUCGGAUUAGCUAGUUGGUGGGGUAACGGCCUACCAAGGCGACGAUCCGUAACUGGUCUGAGAGGAUGAUCAGUCACACGGGAACUGAGACACGGCCCAGACUCCUACGGGAGGAAGCAGUGGGGAAUAUUGGACAAGGGGCGAGAGCCUGAUCCAGCCAUGUCGCGUGAGUGAAGAAGGUCUUCGGAUUGUAAAGCACUUAAGGUUGGGAGGAAGGGCAGUAAGUUAAUACCUGGCUGUUUUGACGGUACCAACAGAAUAAGCACCGGCUAACUUCGUG
rnacentral:rRNA from 1 species